CAGUCGCCACGGUAAUACGUAGGGUGCGAGCGUUAUCGGAAUUACUGGGCGUAAAGCGUGCGCAGGCGGUUGUGUAAGACAGGUGUGAAAUCCCCGGGCUUGACCUGGGAACUGCGCUUGUGACUGCACAGCUAGAGUAUGGCAGAGGGGGGUGGAAUUCCACGUGUAGCAGUGAAAUACGUAGAGAUGUGGAGGAACACCGAUGGCGAAGGCAGCCCCCUGGGCCAAUACUGACGCUCAUGCACGAAAGCGUGGGGAGCAAACAGGAUUAGAUACCCCUGUAGUCCCUGUCUCUUAUACC
rnacentral:rRNA from 1 species